AGUGAACGCUGGCGGUAGGCCUAACACAUGCAAGUCGAACGGCAGCACAGGAGAGCUUGCUCUCUGGGAGGCGAGUGGCGGACGGGUGAGGAAUACAUCGGAAUCUACUCUGUCGUGGGGGAUAACGUAGGGAAACUUACGCUAAUACCGCAUACGACCUACGGGUGAAAGCAGGGGACCUUCGGGCCUUGCGCGAUUGAAUGAGCCGAUGUCGGAUUAGCUAGUUGGCGGGGUAAAGGCCCACCAAGGCGACGAUCCGUAGCUGGUCUGAGAGUAUGAGCAGCCACACUGGAACUGAUGCACGGUCCAGACUCCUACGGGAGGCAGCAGAGGGGAAUAUUGGACAAUGGGCGCAAGCCUGAUCCAGCCAUACCGCGUGGGUGAAGAAGGCCUUCGGGUUGUAAAGCCCUUUUGUUGGGAAAGAAAUCCAGCUGGCUAAUACCCGGUUGGGAUGACGGUACCCAAAGAAUAAGCACCGGCUAACUUCGUGCCAGCAGCCGCAGUAA
rnacentral:rRNA from 1 species